AGAGCGAACGCUGGCGGCAGGCCUAACACAUGCAAGUCGAGCGCCCGUAGCAAUACGGGAGCGGCAGACGGGAUAGUAACACGUGGGAACGCGCCCUUCGGUUCGGAAUAACUCAGGGAAACUUGAGCUAAUACCGGAUACGCCCUUACGGGGAAAGAUUUAUUGCCGAAGGAACGGCCCGCGUCCGAUUAGCUAGUUGGUGAGGUAAUGGCUCACCAAGGCGACGAUCGGUAGCUGGUCUGAGAGGAUGAUCAGCCACAUUGGGACUGAGACACGGCCCAAACUCCUACGGGAGGCAGCAGUGGGGAAUAUUGGACAAUGGGCGAAAGCCUGAUCCAGCCAUGCCGCGUGAGUGAUGAAGGCCUUAGGGUUGUAAAGCUCUUUCACCCACGACGAUAAUGACGGUAGUGGGAGAAGAAGCCCGGCUAACUUCGUGCCAGCAGCCGC
rnacentral:rRNA from 1 species